AUCCCUGUAGAUCAACUGGAGAGAUCGUUGGCCUGCGAUGCCAGAGGUUGGCAGUUCGAGUCUGCCCAGGGAUGCCA
rnacentral:tRNA from 1 species